AUGAAGUGGCUCUCCAGUGCCUUGCACGUGUCCCGUUUGUAUCCCAUCCUAUUCUUCAGCUGGUUUGCCGCUCUUGGAGAGCAUCUGUUCGCAAUGGGGAGCUUCUCAAUGUUCGGAAUCAGAUUGGGGCGACGGAAGAACUGCUAUAUUAGGAACAUUGCCCGUUUUGGAGUUGCCUCUGUUGCUGGAAAACUCUAUGUAAUUGGUGGUGGCAGUGAUAGAGUUGACCCCCUUACUGGAGACCAUGACACAAUCUUUGCGAGCAAUGAGGUCUGGUCUUAUGAUCCUCUCCACCGCUUGUGGGCCCAGAGGGCUCCAAUGCUUGUAGCUCGAGCGAUGUUUGCUUGUUAUGCAUUGGAUGGGAAGAUAAUUGUUGCUGGGGGCUUUACAAACUGCCGCAAAUCGAUAUCAGAGGCUGAGAUUUACGAUCCUGAAGCUGACACAUGGAAGUCCCUCCCUGACCUCCGCCAGGCACACCCCUCUGCAUGCUCUGGUCUUGUCUUCAAGGAUAAGAUGCACGUAUUGCAUAAAGGGAUAUCCACAGUCCAGAUUCUCGAAGAUGGCGGUAAUUAUUGGGCUGUUGAGGACUACUCUUGGCUGCAAGGCCCAAUGGCAAUGGUUGGUGGAGAGUUGUAUGUGCUGAGCAAUAGCUGCAUUAGGAAGCAGCAUGGUGAGAAUUUCCCUGAUAAGAUGGUUCCUUGUGCAUCAGGAUUCCAAAGCAGGAUCGGCUUUGGCAUGAUUGGCUUAGGGGACAGCAUAUGUUUGUUUGGUGGAGUGAUCGGCCCUGGGCCAAGAAAUCAGUGCAUUAAGCCAUUGUCUGAUGUUGAUAUCUUGAAUGUCGCAAGCGAGAGGCCAACCUGGCGACAAGGAUCACCGAUGACGCGUUGCCGAGGGAGUAUCGCAGGCUGUGCUCUGCUGAAGAUCUAG
rnacentral:rRNA from 1 species